UUAUGGCUCAGGAUGAACGCUAGCGGCAGGCUUAACACAUGCAAGUCGAGGGGCAGCAUAAUGGAUAGCAAUAUCUAUGGUGGCGACCGGCGCACGGGUGCGUAACGCGUAUGCAACCUACCUUUAACAGGGGGAUAACACUGAGAAAUUGGUACUAAUACCCCAUAAUAUCAUAGAAGGCAUCUUUUAUGGUUGAAAAUUCCGAUGGUUAGAGAUGGGCAUGCGUUGUAUUAGCUAGUUGGUGGGGUAACGGCUCACCAAGGCGACGAUACAUAGGGGGACUGAGAGGUUAACCCCCCACACUGGUACUGAGACACGGACCAGACUCCUACGGGAGGCAGCAGUGAGGAAUAUUGGUCAAUGGACGCAAGUCUGAACCAGCCAUGCCGCGUGCAGGAUGACGGCUCUAUGAGUUGUAAACUGCUUUUGUACGAGGGUAAAUGCAGAUACGUGUAUCUGUCUGAAAGUAUCGUACGAAUAAGGAUCGGCUAACUCCGUGCCAGCAGCCGCGGUAAUACGGAGGAUUCAAGCGUUAUCCGGAUCUAUUGGGUUUAAAGGGUGCGUAGGCGGUUUGAUAAGUUAGAGGUGAAAUUUCGGGGCUCAACCCUGAACGUGCCUCUAAUACUGUUGAGCUAGAGAGUAGUUGCGGUAGGCGGAAUGUAUGGUGUAGCGGUGAAAUGCUUAGAGAUCAUACAGAACACCGAUUGCGAAGGCAGCUUACCAAACUAUAUCUGACGUUGAGGCACGAAAGCGUGGGGAGCAAACAGGAUUAGAUACCCUGGUAGUCCACGCAGUAAACGAUGAUAACUCGUUGUCGGCGAUACACAGUCGGUGACUAAGAGAAAGCGAUAAGUUAUCCACCUGGGGAGUACGUUUGCA
rnacentral:rRNA from 1 species